rnacentral:rRNA from 1 species
UACGAAGGGGGCUAGCGUUGCUCGGAAUCACUGGGCGUAAAGGGCUCGUAGGCGGCCAACUAAGUCAGACGUGAAAUCCCUCGGCUUAACCGGGGAACUGCGUCUGAUACUGGAUGGCUUGAGUUUGGGAGAGGGAUGCGGAAUUCCAGGUGUAGCGGUGAAAUGCGUAGAUAUCUGGAGGAACACCGGUGGCGAAGGCGGCAUCCUGGACCAACACUGACGCUGAGUGAGCGAAAGCCAGGGGAGCAAACGGG